GUUCAAGAAAAAAAUUAUAAAAAAAGUAAAUAAUUAUGUUGUCAUGUUGAAAUUGCUAGAUUUAAAAACUUAAAAAAGAAAAAAAAUAUAUAUAUAUAUCACCAUGUACAAGUACUAGCAUGAAAGGGCAAACAUCUUCACAUACCACAACCAAAGAACAGUGAAGAUUAUGCCCAGAAAAGUUGGACCAACAUACAGUGUAUAUAGUCAGGAGUUCCUUAGAGCCUGUUUGUGAGGAUUGAAAGCCCUUUUUGUCACAUCAGAGUACCCAGAGCUUUAGCUAGCUUGUUCUAGUUGACUUUAAGCAAGUAGGCACAGUCGUCUGUGGAUUUACCACAAGCUAGUAGGUUCUGAGAAAAGUUAAGUUUUAUGGAGAUAGGAUAAGGCAACUAAAUCCUUGCCAUGCAGCAACGUAAAUAAAGAAAAAAAAUGCAUCCUUAGGUUUUUCCUGGGUGAUCCUUAAGUGAUCAAUAUAUGGAUGGGCAGACCUAAGUUUGAUAAAUACAACAGCACAGAAGUUAUUUUUUUGUUCACUUGUACCCUACAGUUUUAAAAUAAUCUUGCAGGUGGCCAACCUUGUUUGCCACAACAUCUCAUUCUUUAAAGUUCAUCUUCAACAAUUGACUUCUAAUUCUUCCUUUGUGGAUUCUCAUCAUCAUCAAAAAAAACUAGAAAGCUUGAACAAUGUUAGUCUGAAUUUUAUAGUCCUUGUUUUGUCACAUAAGUAAUGUGUAAGUGGGUGGUAAUUAAAUACCUAGUAAUUUAAACAUAUGCAUUUUACAUUACAUCCACUAAAUAUGCAUGUUCUUUGUAUGUACACAUAAUUUAAAUAAACUGGCAUUAAAAGCAUUUAACAGCUUA